CCUACGGGUGGCAGCAGUGGGGAAUCUUGCACAAUGGAGGAAACUCUGAUGCAGCGAUGCCGCGUGAGUGAAGAAGGCCUUUGGGUUGUAAAGCUCUUUUGUAGGGGAAGAUAAUGACUGUACCCUAAGAAUAAGGUCCGGCUAACUUCGUGCCAGCAGCCGCGGUAAUACGAAGGGACCUAGCGUAGUUCGGAAUUACUGGGCGUAAAGCGCGCGUAGGCCGUUGAGUUAGUUAAUUGUGAAAUCCCAAAGCUUAACUUUGGAACUGCAAUUAAAACUGCUCGACUAGAGUUUGAUAGAGGAAAGCGGAAUACAUAGUGUAGAGGUGAAAUUCGUAGAUAUUAUGUAGAACACCAGUUGCGAAGGCGGCUUUCUGGGUCAACACUGACGCUGAGGCGCGAAAGUAUGGGUAGCAAAGAGGAUUAGAUACCCCUGUAGUC
rnacentral:rRNA from 1 species